UGGUGAUGUGAUGCUUGGCCUGGACGGUAGCUUACGCGCGUUGGAUGAAAUAGGCGACUAUUGUGUUGGGGAUGGACGACGGACGCACUCAAAGUUGGAUAUGCCCCGCUUGCGCGCGUUGGAUGAAAUAGGCGACUAUUGUGUUGGGGAUGGAUGAAAUAGGCGACUAUUGUGUUGGGGAUGGACGACGGACGCACUCAAAGUUGGAUAUGCCCCGCUUGCGCGCGUUGGAUGAAAUAGGCGACUAUUGUGUUGGGGAUGGACGACGCUUCUUCUCUUGAAGACCUCGUCUAUUUAAGCCUAGCGAAGACGUGCCUAUUUUGGUAAGGCUUUUUUAUUUGUGAACGCUGUGCAUUCUAUUGAUUCUACCCUGAUUCUACUUUAUCUAUUUUAUCAUGAAAUUCUACGUUCUACUUUAGAACGUGAAGUUCGUCUU
rnacentral:lncRNA from 1 species